CAUUUUUGAGAAAUAACAUAAGUACUAUAAGUAUUUUAAGGCCUAAUUAAGCCCUCAAAAACC
rnacentral:tRNA from 1 species